AAGACUGAGUUGCAAGUAUUUCCUUUCCAGUGUGACAUGUUGUAAAACAACAUCCCAAAUGGUGACUGGCCAGGGAGCAACAUGUCGUCUGUCCUGUCUCUCAACUCUAAAAUCACCCGACUGUCUGACACAGUGAUCGUCUUGGAAACAUAACAAUGACAGCUCGUAUGACAACGCACAUGGCUAAUUGUAAACAAAGCAGGAGACACAAAGCAGGAGACACUGACCCACUGUCAUCUGACUGACCCCAACUACACACAGGUCAGGGUGAGGAGACAUCAGCACUGGAGCCUGUUGGAACCUGUAGGGAUGGCUGGUGGAGCCCAUCCCCCCCUCCCAAUGUGAAUCAUGUUUCCCCGCUCAGAGAUGCUUGCUUCCCGCACAGAAGGGGGCGGGAAAGGGAAAAUAAUGUUGUUUAAACAUGCGAAAGUCAACAUAUUCACAAUGCAUCCACGUGCUGCCAUUCACUCCACACAAAAACACCAACAAAUCCGUGUGAAUAAGUCAUCACUACUCUGAAAACUUGAAAGCAAGAGGGAGGUGGUGAUGCUGAUGUUGACACGAGGGGGGGGGAAGUAGCACCUUUCAUAUCUAACAAUGUACAUCUCUGUGGAGUCUGUGUGUGUGUGUGCAAUAAAACAAAACUGCCACAGGCGCAGAAGUAGUAAAGUCAACAGCGUCUGAGCUGCUGACAAACCUGUGCAAAAGACAAGCGGCGCACGACAGGAGGGCAACGCUGUACAAUCAUAACACGGCUGUGCAAAUGAGAGAAGGUGAUGCUCUGAAUCCUGCCGUGCAAGAAGCGAGAAAAACACGUCACACCGCAUGGCUCUUUAUUUGUUGACAAGCCAAACUCCGCCACCGAGUACAAAUCUGUGGCAAAACAGAGCGAUGCUGCGGCAGCCACUCGCCCGUCUGGCAAGUUGUCUCGCCGAAAUUUUUUGGAGGGGGAGCUAGCUCGUAGGCUAACAGCUCCGCUAGGCUAUAAUGUCAGUGAGGAAGAGAGAGAAAGCACAUUCACCUCCGUUAGCCGCUAGCGCCCAUCCCCCAUCCGAGCAGCCUUCCCUGUCUGUGUCCACCAUCUUUAAUCUGUGCCCCGUCUCCCUUCCCACCGCACAAAACACGACAAAAACACCAGGCACUCACCUUCAACGACCAUUGCGGAAUCGAUUAUCACCUUCCGGAACAAUAAAUCAAUUUUGUUAAAAUAACGUGCGUAUUUUAAUAUUGAAAAUUGGCCGUGCGAGCGGAACCGCGCCUUGAGAGAAGAGCAGCAAUCCUAAACCGCCAUCUGGUGGUAUUUUCCUCUCUGUGAUGCAGCGGGAGCGGCGCAGCCUCAGACCGAGACACAGCUGCCCCCUGGCGGACACACCGGGCCGCGGCGGACACGCGCCUCGGGCGAGCGGGUGGGCGAGCACGGGAAAGGGGGGGCCGCAGAACCCCGCCGCACAACUGACGGGGACGCGCACAGGAACAGGAGAGACCCCGUGAUUUUGACAAUAUGUCCAUUAAAAACCAAACUUCUCACCUGUUGCACAUCGCAGGGCUUACACUUAACGUUUAUGUGUGUGUAUCUAUAUACUUAUAUAUAAAAUACCUUUAAUUUUGUAUUGUAUUGUCUCUUUAUGCUCACUGUUGUACAUAACUCUCUGACUUGCACAGCAAUUGUUUAUUAACAGUUUAAUAAGUCAAUGUGGACAGUGUAAAACUCAACCAUCAUUAAUUCAUGUCAUUAUUUACACUUGUCCAACUGUCGUCUGUCAAAAAUGGUAUGCUGUACAAAGGGCCCAAUUGCUGUAAUUAAUUUAAUCUGCUUAUUUUUCUAUUGAAUUGUUUUUUUAAAACCAUCUUCAAUUCUUAUUUCUUGUUGUGUUUGUUUUGCAGCAAAACACCAAAGUGUAGUGGCAAUAAAAUGGGAGCACACAUUCUUUCCA